CCUGUGCCAGCACAGAUUAGAGGGCUCAGGGCGCGAUUCUCCGAGGAAGAAAGAAGAGGACCGACCGACCGACCAACCGACCGACAGACAGACACCAAGGGCGAGCGCUGGGCAUUGCAGCAGAAGUACUGCACUCCAGGACCAUCUUCUCCUGCCUCACUGCCUGCUGGACUGGUCUAUAGACUGUGAGAACAAAUUGGUUCCUUUCUACUUGAUGCCUCCUCGUUGGACCUGGCUGGUUAAUUUUGAUGUUUCAUUUGGAUUUCUGUUCUGGUUAAGAAGCAUGACUCGUUCCUUUUCACAUUCAAAUUUUGUGAGAACAAAUUGGUUCCUUUCUACUUGAUGCCUCCUCGUUGGACCUGGCUGGUUAAUUUUGAUGUUUUAUUUGGAUUUCUGUUCUUGUUAAGAAGCACAACUCGUACUUAUUCACAAUCAAAUUUCAGUGAUUUACCAAGAUAUGGGUCAAGAAGCUUUAUGCCUUAUGUGGAGAAUCUUUGUUCUGGAACGCUUUUAACAUUUUUUUCUAUAUUUUAUAUGGUAACAUUA